UACAGAGGUCCCAAGCGUUGUUCGGAUUCAUUGGGCGUAAAGGGUGCGUAGGCGGCGCGGUAGGUCGGGUGUGAAAUCUCGGAGCUUAACUCCGAAACUGCAUUCGAUACUGCCGUGCUUGAGGACUGGAGAGGAGACUGGAAUUUACGGUGUAGCGGUGAAAUGCGUAGAUAUCGUAAGGAAGACCAGUGGCGAAGGCGGCUUCCUGGCCCGUUCUUGACGCUGAGGCGCGAAAGCUAGGGGAGCAAACGGG
rnacentral:rRNA from 1 species